AGGAGGAACAACCGCAGUGGCGGGGCCAGCUCUGGAGCCCUGGAGUCAGCCCCCGCAGGAACCACGGAGCUCUCCUCUGCAGGGCCUGGAGGCUCCGGGGCGGG
rfam:Canis lupus familiaris chromosome 15, whole genome shotgun sequence.